rnacentral:rRNA from 1 species
GAUGAACGCUGGCGGCGUGCCUAAUACAUGCAAGUCGAACGCACAGCGAAAGGUGCUUGCACCUUUCAAGUGAGUGGCGAACGGGUGAGUAACACGUGGACAACCUGCCUCAAGGCUGGGGAUAACAUUUGGAAACAGAUGCUAAUACCGAAUAAAACUUAGUGUCGCAUGACACAAAGUUAAAAGGCGCUUCGGCGUCACCUAGAGAUGGAUCCGCGGUGCAUUAGUUAGUUGGUGGGGUAAAGGCCUACCAAGACAAUGAUGCAUAGCCGAGUUGAGAGACUGAUCGGCCACAUUGGGACUGAGACACGGCCCAAACUCCUACGGGAGGCUGCAGUAGGGAAUCUUCCACAAUGGGCGAAAGCCUGAUGGAGCAACGCCGCGUGUGUGAUGAAGGCUUUCGGGUCGUAAAGCACUGUUGUAUGGGAAGAACAGCUAGAAUAGGAAAUGAUUUUAGUUUGACGGUACCAUACCAGAAAGGGACGGCUAAAUACGUGCCAGCAGCCGCGGUAAUACGUAUGUCCCGAGCGUUAUCCGGAUUUAUUGGGCGUAAAGCGAGCGCAGACGGUUUAUUAAGUCUGAUGUGAAAGCCCGGAGCUCAACUCCGGAAUGGCAUUGGAAACUGGUUAACUUGAGUGCAGUAGAGGUAAGUGGAA